rnacentral:miRNA from 1 species
UUCAGUUCUCUUUACCUUUUACU